rnacentral:rRNA from 1 species
CCUGCCAGUAGUCAUAUGCUUGUCUCAAAGAUUAAGCCAUGCAUGUCUAAGUAUAAGCAAUUAUACAGCGAAACUGCGAAUGGCUCAUUAUAUAAGUUAUCGUUUAUUUGAUAGUACCUUACUACUUGGAUAACCGUGGUAAUUCUAGAGCUAAUACAUGCUGAAAAUCCCGACUUCGGAAGGGAGGUAUUUAUUAGAUUAAAAACCAAUGCCCUCUGGGCUCCUUGGUGAUUCAUAAUAACUUUUCGAAUCGCACGGCCUUGCGCCGGCGAUGGUUCAUUCAAAUUUCUUCCCUAUCAACUUUCGAUGUUUGGGUAUUGGCCAAACAUGGUCGCAACGGGUAACGGAGGGUUAGGGCUCGACCCCGGAGAAGGAGCCUGAGAAACGGCUACUACAUCCAAGGAAGGCAGCAGGCGCGCAAAUUACCCAAUCCCGAUUCGGGGAGGUAGUGACAAUAAAUACUGAUACAGGGCUCUUUUGGGUCUUGUAAUUGGAAUGAGUACAAUUUAAAUCUCUUAACGAGGAACAAUUGGAGGGCAAGUCUGGUGCCAGCAGCCGCGGUAAUUCCAGCUCCAAUAGCGUAUAUUAAAGUUGUUGUGGUUAAAAAGCUCGUAGUUGAACCUUGGGCCUGGCUGGCCGGUCCGCCUCACCGCGUGUACUGGUCCGGCCGGGCCUUUCCCUCUGUGGAACCUCAUGCCCUUCACUGGGUGUGGCGGGGAAACAGGACUUUUACUUUGAAAAAAUUAGAGUGCUCCAGGCAGGCCUAUGCUCGAAUACAUUAGCAUGGAAUAAUAAAAUAGGACGCGUGGUUCUAUUUUGUUGGUUUCUAGGACCGCCGUAAUGAUUAAUAGGGACAGUCGGGGGCAUCAGUAUUCAAUUGUCAGAGGUGAAAUUCUUAGAUUUAUUGAAGACUAACUACUGCGAAAGCAUUUGCCAAGGAUGUUUUCAUUAAUCAGGAACGAAAGUUAGGGGAUCGAAGACGAUCAGAUACCGUCGUAGUCUUAACCAUAAACUAUGCCGACUAGGGAUCGGACGAUGUUAUUUUUUGACGCGUUCGGCACCU